UGGGGAAUAUUGGGCAAUGGGCGCAAGCCUGACCCAGCAACGCCGCGUGAAGGAAGAAGGCUUUCGGGUUGUAAACUUCUUUUACCAGGGACGAAGAAAGUGACGGUACCUGGAGAAUAAGCCACGGCUAACUACGUGCCAGCAGCCGCGGUAAUACGUAGGUGGCGAGCGUUGUCCGGAUUUACUGGGUGUAAAGGGCGCGUAGGCGGGAGUGCAAGUCAGAUGUGAAAUCCAUGGGCUUAACCCAUGAACUGCAUUUGAAACUGUAUUUCUUGAGUGUCGGAGAGGUAGACGGAAUUCCUAGUGUAGCGGUGAAAUGCGUAGAUAUUAGGAGGAACACCAGUGGCGAAGGCGGUCUACUGGACGAUAACUGACGCUGAGGCGCGAAAGCGUGGGGAGCAAACAGG
rnacentral:rRNA from 1 species